rnacentral:rRNA from 1 species
GACGAACGCUGGCGGCGUGCCUAAUACAUGCAAGUAGAACGCUGAAGGAGGAGCUUGCUUCUCUGGAUGAGUUGCGAACGGGUGAGUAACGCGUAGGUAACCUGCCUGGUAGCGGGGGAUAACUAUUGGAAACGAUAGCUAAUACCGCAUAAGAGUAGAUGUUGCAUGACAUUUGCUUAAAAGGUGCAAUUGCAUCACUACCAGAUGGACCUGCGUUGUAUUAGCUAGUUGGUGAGGUAACGGCUCACCAAGGCAACGAUACAUAGCCGACCUGAGAGGGUGAUCGGCCACACUGGGACUGAGACACGGCCCAGACCCCUACGGGAGGCAGCAGUAGGGAAUCUUCGGCAAUGGACGGAAGUCUGACCGAGCAACGCCGCGUGAGUGAAGAAGGUUUUCGGAUCGUAAAGCUCUGUUGUAAGAGAAGAACGAGUGUGAGAGUGGAAAGUUCACACUGUGACGUAUCUACCAGAAA